AUGUGCUGAUAUGUCAAGUUGUG
rnacentral:snRNA from 1 species